rnacentral:rRNA from 1 species
AUUGAACGCUGGCGGCAUGUUUUACACAUGCAAGUCGAACGGUAACAGCACUUCGGUGGCUGACGAGUGGCGAACGGGUGAGUAAUACAUCGGAACGUGCCUAGUAGUGGGGGAUAACUACUCGAAAGAGUAGCUAAUACCGCAUGAGAUCUAAGGAUGAAAGCAGGGGACCUUCGGGCCUUGCGCUACUAGAGCGGCUGAUGGCAGAUUAGGUAGUUGGUGGGAUAAAAGCUUACCAAGCCGACGAUCUGUAGCUGGUCUGAGAGGACGACCAGCCACACUGGGACUGAGACACGGCCCAGACUCCUACGGGAGGCAGCAGUGGGGAAUUUUGGACAAUGGGCGCAAGCCUGAUCCAGCAAUGCCGCGUGCAGGAUGAAGGCCUUCGGGUUGUAAACUGCUUUUGUACGGAACGAAAAGCCCUCUUCUAAUACAGGAGGGUCAUGACGGUACCGUAAGAAUAAGCACCGGCUAACUACGU